rnacentral:rRNA from 1 species
CCCCAAGAGUCCAUAUCGACGGGAUGGUUUGGCACCUCGAUGUCGGCUCGUCGCAUCCUGGGGCUGGAGUCGGUCCCAAGGGUUGGGCUGUUCGCCCAUUAAAGCGGUACGCGAGCUGGGUUUAGAACGUCGUGAGACAGUUCGGUCCCUAUCCGCUGUGCGCGUAGGAGUCUUGAGAAGGGCUGUCCCUAGUACGAGAGGACCGGGACGGACGAACCUCUGGUGUGCCAGUUGUUCUGCCAAGGGCAUGGCUGGUUGGCUACGUUCGGGAGGGAUAACCGCUGAAAGCAUCUAAGCGGGAAGCCUGCUUCGAGAUGAGGGCUCCCACCCACUUGAUGGGGUAAGGCUCCCAGUAGACGACUGGGUUGAUAGGCCGGAUAUGGAAGCACGGUAACGUGUGGAGUUGACCGGUACUAAUAGGCCGAGGGCUUGUCCUCAGUUG